CUAUCUAUCUAUCUAUCUAUCUAUCUAUUAGGAGGGGAUGCACCCAGUAGGGGGCGCUGGUAAGAUCCGGCGCUCCAAUGCUGGAUAGGGGUCAAGACUGGGGCUCCAUAGGGGGAGUGAGGUCAGGGUGGAGAAUGCCCAUAUAGACAGCGGAUGAGGUCAGAGGUCAGAGGUCAGGGUGGAGAAUGCCCAUAUAGACAGCGGAUGAGGUCAGAGGUCAGGGUGGAGAAUGCCCAUAUAGACAGCGGAUGAGGUCAGAGGUCAGAGGUCAGGGUGGAGAAUGCCCAUAUAGACAGCGGAUGAGGUCAGAGGUCAGGGUGGAGAAUGCCCAUAUAGACAGCGGAUGAGGUCAGAGGUCAGGGUGGAGAAUGCCCAUAUAGACAGCGGAUGAGGUCAGAGGUCAGGGUGGAGAAUGCCCAUAUAGACAGCGGAUGAGGUCAGGGUGGAGAAUGCCCAUAUAGACAGCGGAUGAGGUCAGAGGUCAGGGUGGAGAAUGCCCAUAUAGACAGCGGAUGAGGUCAGAGGUCAGGGUGGAGAAUGCCCAUAUAGACAGCGGAUGAGGUCAGAGGUCAGGGUGGAGAAUGCCCAUAUAGACAGCGGAUGAGGUCAGAGGUCAGGGUGGAGAAUGCCCAUAUAGACAGCGGAUGAGGUCAGGGUGGAGAAUGCCCAUAUAGACAGCGGAUGAGGUCAGAGGUCAGAGGUCAGGGUGGAGAAUGCCCAUAUAGACAGCGGAUGAGGUCAGAGGACAGGGUGGAGAAUGCCCAUAUAGACAGCGGAUGAGGUCAGAGGUCAGGGUGGAGAAUGCCCAUAUAGACAGCGGAUGAGGUCAGAGGUCAGGGUGGAGAAUGCCCAUAUAGACAGCGGAUGAGGUCAGAGGUCAGGGUGGAGAAUGCCCAUAUAGACAGCGGAUGAGGUCAGGGUGGAGAAUGCCCAUAUAGACAGCGGAUGAGGUCAGAGGUCAGGGUGGAGAAUGCCCAUAUAGACAGCGAAUGAGGUCAGGGUGGAGAAUGCCCAUAUAGACAGCGGAUGAGGUCAGGGUGGAGAAUGCCCAUAUAGACAGCGGAUGAGGUGCAGAUCUGGUCCAGCUCUGGCCCAAAUCUGGCAAUGAUAUGGCCAAUAGAUCUGUGCCAGAUUAGGGAUGGAUUUGUCCCAGGGGUAGAUGCCAACUGGGCCAGGAUGUUAGCAAAACAAAUAUUUAAAAAU